GCGAGUGUAGUUCAAUGGUAGAACUUCAGCCUUCCAAGCUGACUACGUGGGUUCGAUUCCCAUCACUCGCUCCA
rnacentral:tRNA from 2 species